rnacentral:rRNA from 1 species
UACGAAGGGGGCUAGCGUUGCUCGGAAUUACUGGGCGUAAAGCGCGCGUAGGCGGCUUUGCAAGUUAGAGGUGAAAGCCCGGAGCUUAACUCCGGAACUGCCUUUAAAACUGCAUCGCUAGAAUCGUGGAGAGGUGAGUGGAAUUCCGAGUGUAGAGGUGAAAUUCGUAGAUAUUCGGAAGAACACCAGUGGCGAAGGCGAGUCCCUGGACAACACCUGACACUGAGGCACGAAAGCUAGGGGAGCAAACAGG